rnacentral:rRNA from 1 species
CGCACGGGUGAGUAACACGUAUGCAACCUGCCUGCCACAGCCGGAUAAUCGGGAGAAAUUCCGUCUAAUACGGCAUAAUGCAUCGACGGGACAUCCUGUUGGUGCCAAAGGUUGAUUCCGGUGGCGGAUGGGCAUGCGUCGCAUUAGUUAGUUGGCGGUGUAACGGACCACCAAGACGACGAUGCGUAGGGGUUCUGAGAGGAAGGUCCCCCACACUGGUACCGAGACACGGACCAGACUCCUACGGGAGGCAGCAG